rnacentral:lncRNA from 1 species
GCUCUUACUUGUCCUGCUCCUGCUGCUCGAGGACGCUGGAGCCCAGCAAGUUAUGGAGGCUAGAAUUCUGACAGCAGGGUGUGCAGAGGGCCAUGCUCUUUCCUAAGACUCUAAGGUGAUGGAUGUGGACACACUGUACUAGGCCCUGAGAGUGGAACCCUUACAUCCAUAAACUACCCACAGACCUAUCCCAACAGCACUGUUUGUGAAUGGGAGAUCCGUGUAAAGAUGGGAGAGAGAGUUCGCAUCAAAUUUGGUGACUUUGACAUUGAAGAUUCUGAUUCUUGUCACUUUAAUUACUUGAGAAUUUAUAAUGGAAUUGGAGUCAGCAGAACUGAAAUAGGCAAAUACUGUGGUCUGGGGUUGCAAAUGAACCAUUCAAUUGAAUCAAAAGGCAAUGAAAUCACAUUGCUGUUCAUGAGUGGAAUCCAUGUUUCUGGACGCGGAUUUUUGGCCUCAUACUCUGUUAUAGAUAAACAAGGUAAUUUUCACCUUUUGCAAUGGUUCCUACAGUUUGUAAUUUCUAACAACAAAAAUAAAAUGCUUUUUUUAAG